UACGGGGGGGGCAAGCGUUGUUCGGAAUUACUGGGCGUAAAGGGCUCGUAGGCGGCCAACUAAGUCGGACGUGAAAUCCCCAGGCUCAACCUGGGAACUGCGUCCGAUACUGGAUGGCUUGAAUUCGGGAGAGGGAUGCAGAAUUCCAGGUGUAGCGGUGAAAUGCGUAGAUAUCGGGAGGAACACCAGUGGCGAAGGCGGCGAUCUGGGUCGAUACUGACGCUGAGGUGCGAAAGCGUGGGGAGCAAACAGG
rnacentral:rRNA from 1 species